AUGGAUUAUGUGAUGGUUCUUUUUUUUAUGUAUGAAGAAACAUUUUAAACAUUGAAAUACAUAGUCCUUAAAAUACAUCUGAAAAAUUAUUAACAAAACACAACAAAAAACAAGAUUCACUGGUGUCAGAAGCAAUGGUGCAUUCUUAUAAUCCCAGUGAUUUGGGAGAGAAGGUGAGACAUAAAGAUUGCAAGUUCAAGAUGAGCCUGGACAACUUAGUGGGACCCUAGCAGAAAGUGAAAAAUAAAAGGGCUCUGGAAAUGGCUCAGUGUUGAGUGCCCUUCAGUUUGAUCCUCAGCAGUGAGGACUGGGGAAAGGAAAGAAGUCAGUGAAUAGGCAGCUAGAAUGUUCUGAUCUUUCAUUAAUUUAGUUAUAACAGCUAGUAAAUAUUGGUGUUCCUAAGAAAUUGUUUUGAAGGGAGAGGAAUUAAUUGCUAUCUAAUGUUCACAAUGUCAUGAAUAAUUGUCUGUUUUAAGUGGGAGCUCUAUGACCUCCUAACCAAUCUUCUAACUUUUGUAGGACCCCUCUACAUUACGCAUGUGCCUAUGACCAGGCAGAAGUGGUGGCUUUUCUAAUAAAGAAGAAAUGCAACAUUCACCUCUGUGACAGUGAGAACAACACACCUCUGAUUAAGGUCAAAAAAUGCUAUGGAAGACCUUGAUGAAUAAGAGCCAACUUUAAUAGCCUCAAUGGCCUUUCAAGUGACUUGCCCUAAUUAUAAGGAUAUUUGGGCAUACAUUGAAAAACCAAGCACUUCAUAUGAAAAUCCUCAUAGCCUACCAAAAAUCCAAAAAGCAUUUGAUUCAUGUCAAAGAAUAAUAGAACUUGACAAAAGUCACUGUUCACAGUGUUUAUUACAUAUACAAGAAGUGGAAAAAGGAGAAAAUAAACUUUGUGGAAUGAAAGAGAAAUUAUCAGAAAUGGAAAAUAUGAAAUCUAAGUUAGAGCAGAGAGAAAUAAAAUGGAAACAAGAACUCUGUCACUUGAGGUAUGAUACCCUAGAUUGAAAGAAGGUUUGAACUCUUUUCUUCACACUGAAGAUACAUAGGGAAUUUUUUAAUUGCUGACUUACCUGUUGGUAUUUUGCAAAGGAGAAAACUACUUAUACUUGUAGAAUCUGAAAUCCUUACAAAAAGGUGACAUAUUGCUAACUAUGAUUACUUCUAAUAACCAAAUUCAUGUUAUUUCCAAUCAUAAUAUCAAUGGCUAUAUGGAAAUCUCACUAUAAAAGGAAUCUCACUAUUGAUUUAAAAAGCAGAAUUGGGGAUUGUUUUUCAUUCAUAUUUUUACUUUUUGUAUUACAAUCAAUGUUUCACUGAACCUCAUUUACAAAAGUUAUUAUUUCCAUAUUUUUGUUGAGUCAUUACACUUGUUUAAAUGGUGGGAUUUUUGUUACAUAUUCAUGUUUACACACUAUGUGACUAUAUAAUUUGGUCUAUAUUAUUCCCUACCUUUUUGCUUUACCCCCUUCUCCUUUUACUUCAAUGAGCUCCUUUGAUCUCCCUGAGACCACCCCAUGCCUUUCUUUUACUUUGCCUUUCUAGUUACCACAUCGGAGAGAAAAAAUAUGAAGGUUAAACUUACAAAUAUGACUUAAUAUGCAUAAAAAAUUGUCUCAGUUUCCAUCCAUUUCCUGAAUCUGACCUAAUUUCAUAGAAAUUAAUGUUUAUUUUCCUUAGUUAGAAUACAUUUUUCAAUAUAGAAUUAUUUGGGAAAAGAAUAGUAACUUCAUGAACAGAUAUUUGAUCAAUAUUUCUAAAUUGCUCUCGGGACAGUUUAUAGUAAUUUAUAUUUUCACCAAAGAGAAUGAAAUGGCCAUUUUUUAAAAAAAUUGUUCUAAUUAAUUACACAUGACAGUAGAAUGCAUUUUGAGACAUUGUACACAAAUGGAGACAAGUUCUUCCUAUGGCUGAACGUGCCAUAUCAGUAAUGUAAUCAUACAUGUAUAUGGAGUAAGAAUAUCCAUCUGAUUCCACCGUUAUCCCAUCCCUGCAAACCCUCCCCUCUCCUCACUCCCCUCUACACAAUCUAAAGUUCUUUCAUUCUUCCUCACACACCCAUUACCCAUUAUGGAAUAACAUCCACUUAUCAGAGAAAACAUUUGGCCUUUGUUUUGGGGAGUUUGCCUUAUGAAAAAGUCAUUUUGUGCACCCCAAAAUGUGUUUUUAAAUAUUUAUGCAGUUUUUUUUUUUUCUGGUGCUUGGGAUCAAACCCAAGGGUUGGCUCAAAGUAUGCUUCUGCUGAAUUACACCCUGGGCUAUGGAUGGAAUCCUAACAUCUAUUAAACAAAAUGUGAAAUGGAAAGUAACAUUUUUAAAAAUUUCUCCCUCAUUUGUAAUAAAAUUUGUUUAAAUUUCUAUGUUGAAAGGACACGUAUUCUUUAUCAUUGGAAUAAAUAUUAGGUUAUGCCUUGUUCCAAAAGGGAUUGUGAGUUCUUUAUAAAAUAUAUAAUGGUAAACAAGCGAAAUUGAAAGUGUUACCUAAAAGAAACAUUAAAAGGGGAACAACAGGAAUUGGACCCCUUAGCCUGGUCUUCAGUUAUGGUAAUGUGCAGACAUAUGCUGUCUGAACAACUUCUGAAGGUGGUAUGUUACAAUGGCAAUCAAUUGCAGUAGUUGCUAUUUUAUUCAUAAAUAUAAAAGCUAAAUACUAAUGAAUUUAUAAACUUGUUUAUAAACAAUUAGUCUUUAAAACUCUCUUAACUAAGGAAGAGUUAUAACAAUGCAAAAAUGAUAUUUUUUUUUAUUUGUUUUGUUUUGGCAAUGUUUGGGAUGGAACACAGGGGCCCCAGCAGGCACGCACUCUGAGGAUUCCCCUCCCAAAUUAUUUCAAACACUCAAUUUAUGGAUACAUUUCAAGAGUCCCUUUCCAUAAUAUCUACUGAAGUUACUAGUUACUAGUAAGUUACUAGCCUUUUCCCAACUGACAGAAAAAUAUUUCAUUAUUAACUUUCAUGUUUAAAUGUUUCCAAAAAGAUUGAAGGAGAAAUUUAAAGAGGUGAGAACUAGAAAGAAAAAAAAUCAUAGAACAUAGAAUUUUUUAUUAGCCUAAUGAAUUAACGUAUGAAGAACAAGAACACAAAAUGCACCAUUUGUUUUCUGAUUAAAAGCAUUUUAAGA